CCUACGGGAGGCAGCAGUGAGGAAUAUUGGUCAAUGGGCGCGAGCCUGAACCAGCGAAGUCGCGUGAGGGAAGACGGUCCUAUGGAUUGUAAACCUCUUUUGUCGGGGAGCAAAAGACGCCACGCGUGGCGUUCCGAGAGUACCCGAAGAAAAAGCAUCGGCUAACUCCGUGCCAGCAGCCGCGGUAAUACGGAGGAUGCGAGCGUUAUCCGGAUUGAUUGGGUUGAAAGGGAGCGUAGGUGGAUUGUUAAGUCAGUAGUGAAAGUUUGCGGCUCAACCGUCAAAUUGCAGUUGAAACUGGCAGUCUGGAGUACAGUAGAGGUGGGCGGAAUUCGUGGUGUAGCGGUGAAAUGCUUAGAUAUCACGAAGAACACCGAUUGCGAAGGCAGCUUACUGGACUGCAACUGACACUGAUGCUCGAAAGUGUGGGUAUCAAACAGGAUUAGAUACCCGAGUAGUC
rnacentral:rRNA from 1 species